CUUCUUCUUCCUCCAAUCAGUGCUAGCGUGGCGAUGGUUCCGCCGCCGUCGGGGCCGCCACCAAGGGCCUGUACCGGGCAGGAGCUGCGUCGAGUCUGAUGCCGCUGCUGCUCUGGGGAGCGAGAUCCUGCAUCGCCGUCGCCACCCUACCAGGCUUACUCCGGUCUGCCUCUCGUCGUUCGAGCAAAAGUGGUGCCAGGGCCGUCGUCGGGUAUCUAAGGCGAAGGAGCAGCAGGCACCACCACGGAUGAGCCGGCUGGGCCUUCGCGCGAGCCGCCCGUACCCCACACGCCCCCGCUCCUCCCACACCCGCGCGCUACCUACGGCCCGAGGGAACAAGCGCUGCCCACGCGCCGGUGGCCGUGCCAACGGGCUUCUAGCCUCGCACGCUGCCUGCAUGUUCAUCUCCUUUCCUUACUUUGAUUCCCGUCUCCUCUUAUUUUCCUGUGCGCGUGAGUCUAUUUAUGAAGAUCAUCUGUUUAUGUUGCACAGAUUGAGAUUCAAACUGCACUUUCCCCGUUAUUUUCUUAUUCCCGGACAAGCAGCAGCACAAAUGUAGGAGGUAUCUGACAACAAUGGAUGCGGUACCACUCCGUUCGACCCCGGUCUUCCUCUACCUCGGAUAGCCGCUGCUCUUCUCUCUCCUUGCUAAAGCUCUGAAAAGGAAUGAGCAUAUCAUUACUGAUAAGUUAGUUGCAAGUUUGCAAUCUUCUGUAAGAACCUGAAGUACUUUAUUUCAUAGUUUGGAUUGUGAAAGAAUUUUGGAAGGAUCACAAGGUAGUCUUCAUUUCAAUUUGUCCAUUUAUUGGGUCGAUGCAUCUAGCUACCUGUAGCUGUUUUCUUCUAUUGUAAAAUGAAAUAUCAUUCUUGCUGAUGAUUGAAACUAGAAAAUCAGCAGACUACAUUGUUCAAAUUGCAAGAUUCCUUCCAUUGUAAUGAAUACAAAGGAAAAUCACAAGUUUUGUUC